rnacentral:rRNA from 1 species
GAUGAACGCUGGCAGCGUGCCUAAUACAUGCAAGUCGAGCGAACGGACGAGAAGCUUGCUUCUCUGAUGUUAGCGGCGGACGGGUGAGUAACACGUGGAUAACCUACCUAUAAGACUGGGAUAACUUCGGGAAACCGGAGCUAAUACCGGAUAAUAUUUUGAACCGCAUGGUUCAAAAGUGAAAGACGGUCUUGCUGUCACUUAUAGAUGGAUCCGCGCUGCAUUAGCUAGUUGGUAAGGUAACGGCUUACCAAGGCAACGAUGCAUAGCCGACCUGAGAGGGUGAUCGGCCACACUGGAACUGAGACACGGUCCAGACUCCUACGGGAGGCAGCAGUAGGGAAUCUUCCGCAAUGGGCGAAAGCCUGACGGAGCAACGCCGCGUGAGUGAUGAAGGUCUUCGGAUCGUAAAACUCUGUUAUUAGGGAAGAACAUAUGUGUAAGUAACUGUGCACAUCUUGACGGUACCUAAUCAGAAAGCCACGGCUAACUACGUGCCAGCAGCCGCGGUAAUACGUAGGUGGCAAGCGUUAUCCGGAAUUAUUGGGCGUAAAGCGCGCGUAGGCGGUUUUUUAAGUCUGAUGUGAAAGCCCACGGCUCAACCGUGGAGGGUCAUUGGAAACUGGAAAACUUGAGUGCAGAAGAGGAAAGUGGAAUUCCAUGUGUAGCGGUGAAAUGCGCAGAGAUAUGGAGGAACACCAGUGGCGAAGGCGACUUUCUGGUCUGUAACUGACGCUGAUGUGCGAAAGCGUGGGGAUCAAACAGGAUUAGAUACCCUGGUAGUCCACGCCGUAAACGAUGAGUGCUAAGUGUUAGGGGGUUUCCGCCCCUUAGUGCUGCAGCUAACGCAUUAAGCACUCCGCCUGGGGAGUACGACCGCAAGGUUGAAACUCAAAGGAAUUGACGGGGACCCGCACAAGCGGUGGAGCAUGUGGUUUAAUUCGAAGCAACGCGAAGAACCUUACCAAAUCUUGACAUCCUUUGACAACUCUAGAGAUAGAGCUUUCCCCUUCGGGGGACAAAGUGACAGGUGGUGCAUGGUUGUCGUCAGCUCGUGUCGUGAGAUGUUGGGUUAAGUCCCGCAACGAGCGCAACCCUUAAGCUUAGUUGCCAUCAUUAAGUUGGGCACUCUAAGUUGACUGCCGGUGACAAACCGGAGGAAGGUGGGGAUGACGUCAAAUCAUCAUGCCCCUUAUGAUUUGGGCUACACACGUGCUACAAUGGACAAUACAAAGGGCAGCGAAACCGUGAGGUCAAGCAAAUCCCAUAAAGUUGUUCUCAGUUCGGAUUGUAGUCUGCAACUCGACUACAUGAAGCUGGAAUCGCUAGUAAUCGUAGAUCAGCAUGCUACGGUGAAUACGUUCCCGGGUCU